UCUCCCUCGAGAGGGACAACCACCGUCGCUCCCAAACGCACGUCGACGGAUGGAGCGCGCCAUUUCCCGGUCCUCGCCGCUCGCGAGCAGCCGACCACCAUCCCUCGGCGUCGGCGGAGAGCAGCCGCCUGGAGGAGCUGACGGCGCGGCCGGGCGUAGGCGGUCCCGCGGGGCGCGAGGGGAGGCCUGGUUCAAGGCCCUCCGCCAGGUCAAGAACGAGUUCAUCGGUAACAAGACCAAGAAGCCCGCCCUCCUCCGCAGCGAACGGCCGCGGCGACGCUGCCGUCAUCGUGCAAGCGGCCGCCGGCAUCCUUUUCCAUUCCGAUGAUAAGAACCUAAGUGAAGGCUAUUUUUACAGUGAGGCAGUUAUUGGUAACGUGGUCUGACUUUUAUGAGACUCAUCUACAUCGGUUCAGGUAAGUUUGUCUACAUGGACAAUAAAUUUCACUUGUAUUAGAAGUUAGUCUGGCCUCCCUUAUCUUGCCCCGAUGUUGUCACAAAGAACUUGCAAAUUUUUUGGGCAAUUUUUUAUCUUGAGGGAAGAAUGGGAUUGUGUAGGAAUAUAUCUGGAUCUUCAGAUAAGGUACACUGAUUAGGUUGCAAUAGAGCUUAAUAUAUCAUCAUUAAAUUAACAAGAAGCUGUAGGUCGAUAUUGGCAGAUUAAUAAGUUGAUGUUAUCAUCAUUAUAAAUGAUAAAAGUUCUUAGUUUAACUAAAUUUUUAGCUCCAUGUUUACUUGGUUCAAUAUCAAAGGAUGGUAUCUACAUGUUUAUUUGUUUUCCAUAUCGUGUCGCCAAUUCAUUAUUAUUAUUAUAUAAAAGAGAAGCAAGUGUCAUUUGAUUUUACGGAGGGAUAUAGUCCUACUGGUAUUGUGAUUUAUAAUACUAGUUUCUGCUGGUUUUUUGUUGUCAACAUCUCCAUAAUAUAUUUGUUGUACAUCUAAUAUUUUAUUGUGUACAAAAGUGGAUUAAAAUAGACCUGCAUUUCGUAACCUCUUGAUAAUUGUGAUGUGACUCUGUCAAUAAUGUAUCUCUAGAAGACAAUGUUUUUCUAAAUGUUGUUGUGAGACAGUUGCAGAAUGCAUCAUCUGUAGGAGUAUAUACUCAGGUGUGUGUUCAAUUGUGCCAUCUUUGUCUACUUUUAUAUAACUUCUGCCAAAUUCUUGCUGUUCUCUACCAUCCUGUGUUUUUUUCCUGCUUUUGACUCGGACAUAUCUUCACGCAUGAUCAUUAGUCGUGCAUCAGUGCUAGUGAAAUAAGAAUGUACUAACUUAUAAGUUGUCUAUAUUACUCUGCCAGCUUGAAGCUAUUACUAGAAACUCGUGGCCAAGUUGCUGGAUAUUACUCCCACCAGCUUGAAGUUAUUACUAAAAACUCAUGGCCAUACCUCGCUGAUGGUUUUUUAGACUAAUGGUGCAUAUAAAUUCAAAUAUUGCAUUCUCCUGGUAUUAAAGUUAAUGAACUUCCUCAGUUUUUCAUGUCUGGCAUUCUAAAUAGAGUUUGCAUCUCAGUAGAUUUGACAUCAGGUUUCAAAGAGUCGGAUUGUAAAAAAGCUUUGGAGAAAAAUAUGGACAAACAAUAAUAUAAAAUUCUGUAUUUAAAAUUUAUCUGAAUCUUUAGCCUUUUUUUGGUAAGUGAUGAUUCUGAUGUUCCAUCAAGAGAAAUUUCACCUAGAAGAUGACAUGCUUUGGCUUUGUUCAGACUUGAUUCAAAUGCAGUUGUUUUCAAGCAGAACUAAUGAUUUAUUAUUUGCUUAACAUAUAUGCUUUAUGAUAUAAAACUGUCUUUCAGGGAAUGAUUGUGCUCAAUAACAUUACGGCUGGAAGCAAGUCUGGGAAAGAGUGAUGAAUUAUCUUGUUCUGCCCUGAGAAGAUGCUAGUGCUGGUUUAUCCAGUAGGGUCGCAAGUUUCCAAGAAGCAGGGAUGAUUUUUCAGCUAAAAUUGAUGCUUAAUGAUCCCUACUCGGACUGCAAGCUUCAUGUGAGAGCCAUUAUCGAGCAGUGCAUCAGUAUCUUCUGCUUUUGGUGUUGUACACUUGCUUUUGAAUCCCCUCCAAUUGGAAUGCUGUUAAUUGCUUUGCAUUGACAGGUGAAUACACGUUAAAAUAUAUUCUUUCUAGGUUAUCCACUGCUUCGAGGAAUUGAGCGAUGCUCCUUGCGGAGAAAAAGCUGGUGGAUUUUCUUUUCUAUUUUUGUUGUUGUUGUUGUUGUUGUGAUACGCUGUCUAUCGUCACUUGAAAUGCUUUCGAUGAUCCGUUGUCUCUUUUUCUUUUUCAUGUACGAUAACACACUGUAAUGAAUGAAAUCGGAUGUUAAUUCGAA